GAUGAACGCUGGCGGCGUGCCUAAUACAUGCAAGUCGAGCGAACAGACGAGGAGCUUGCUCCUCUGACGUUAGCGGCGGACGGGUGAGUAACACGUGGAUAACCUACCUAUAAGACUGGGAUAACUUCGGGAAACCGGAGCUAAUACCGGAUAAUAUAUUGAACCGCAUGGUUCAAUAGUGAAAGACGGUUUUGCUGUCACUUAUAGAUGGAUCCGCGCCGCAUUAGCUAGUUGGUAAGGUAACGGCUUACCAAGGCAACGAUGCGUAGCCGACCUGAGAGGGUGAUCGGCCACACUGGAACUGAGACACGGUCCAGACUCCUACGGGAGGCAGCAGUAGGGAAUCUUCCGCAAUGGGCGAAAGCCUGACGGGGCAACGCCGCGUGAGUGAUGAAGGUCUUCGGAUCGUAAAACUCUGUUAUUAGGGAAGAACAAAUGUGUAAGUAACUAUGCACGUCUUGACGGUACCUAACCAGAAAGCCACGGCUAACUACGUG
rnacentral:rRNA from 1 species